GUACUUAAUAACUUCUAUAGCACAAGCACUAAAAUUAGAACACUACAGAGACUAUCGUGGUCCCUGCGCAAGGGUAACACACAAAGUUGGGAAGCAUCCCAUAUAUUU